AUCACUUCUCGGCCUUUUGGCUAAGAUCAAGUGUAAAAAAAAUACUUUAUUUAUUUUUUUUUAAGUUUAUUCAUU
ensembl:snRNA U2 U2 spliceosomal RNA